rnacentral:misc_RNA from 1 species
UCCGGUUUGUCACCGGCAGUCUCAUUAGAGUGCCCUUUCGUAGCAACUAAUGACAAGGGUUGCGCUCGUUGCGGGACUUAACCCAACAUCUCACGACACGAGCUGACGACAGCCAUGCACCACCUGCACAGAAGUCCCUUGCGGGAGGUUCUGGCUUUCACCAAAAUUUCCUCUGCAUGUCAAACCCAGGUAAGGUUCUUCGCGUUGCCUCGAAUUAAACCACACGCUCCGCUGCUUGUGCGGGCCCCCGCCUAUUCCUUUGAGUUUUAACCUUGCGGCCGUAGUCCCCAGGCGGUGAACUUAAUGCGUUAGCUGCGGCACGGAGAACGUGGAAGGUUCCCCACACCUAGCGCCCAACGUUUACGGCGUGGACUAC